CAGUAGCCACGGUAAUACAGAGGGUGCAAGCGUUAAUCGGAUUUACUGGGCGUAAAGGGCGCGUAGGUGGUUAUUUAAGUGAGAUGCGAAAGCCCCGGGCUUAACCUGGGAACUGCAUCUUAUACUGGGUAACUGGAGUGCAGUAGAGGGUAGUGGAAUUUCCGGUGUAGCGGUGAAAUGCGUAGAUAUCGGAAGGAACACCAGUGGCGAAGGCGGCUACCUGGACUGAGACUGACACUGAGGCGCGAGAGCGUGGGGAGCAAACAGGAUUAGAUACCCGCGUAGUCCCUGUCUCUUAUAC
rnacentral:rRNA from 1 species